rnacentral:miRNA from 14 species
CAUUAUUACUUUCGGUACGCGCU